AGCUCUCAAGCUUAGGGUUUUUAUGGGGCGAGACCACAUGCAGGUGGCCGGGGAGUUUAGGGUGGGGAAAUUCUAGUAGCUCUAUGUUGCACAACCAGUUGCACGACCACUACCCAAUUCCGAGAACUUGCAAUGGACACUUAGGGGAAAAGAUAAAGAAAAAGGGAGGGGUAGGGGUCUUAAUUACCUAUGAGCAAGCAUAGUUACAGAAGCGAAAAGCUGGUUAGGCUAGUUUGGGCCUUUAGGCUAGUUUGGGCCUUUCAGACUUUCCUGUUUGGGUAUGUCAGAGGGUGCUGGCAAUGGGGGGUUAUCCUCACAUCUAACAAAAUCACCCAAAAUAUCUUCAUAUUUUAUGAUGGAGAAAUAUAGGCCAGCUUGUUACUCAAUUUAGGUGGAUUUACAGCUAUUUGAACAACCACAUCCAAAGCCCAUUGUUAAUGGAAUGAUGUUUAACCUGGAGAGAAAGAUCUCUAGUUCUCUUCAUAGUUCUGAGAUUCUUUGAAAGCUAUAGUUGUGAACCUCUUUAUUUUGGAAGUGAAUUGUAAAGAAUUUUGUCCAAAGUGAUGUUAUACUCCAGCCCAGAAGUAAACAUAUAGAUUAGGCAGACUUGGAGUAGCCCAACAUGGAUUCUUCCACAUUACUCUUUUUCAAAACCUCUGCCUCUCUCCAUCAUACCAAAUAGUAUAUAACAGACUUGGCUUUGGCUUGUUGGUCUCUCAAUCCAAUCUCAGCUAUUGUUUUUCAGCUUAACUUUGGUGACUCACUUGUGCUCAGUUCUGAUCCAGACAAUGGAGAACCAUUCUAGCAAGAACUGAACCGAUUUUUAUUCUCUCGUCGAUGUUCAAAGCUCAGCCUACUGUGAUGCAGUCUGUGUCCGUGUUCUCUGUUUCUGCAAGCUUUGUUGGCCAAGUUCAUCAACUUUGACUUGACCAGACAUGCACUAAGUACAUUCUGCAGACAUAGCUGAAGAUCUUGGAGACGUUUGCUUCCCAAAGGAUUCCCCAUGAAAAGCUCCACUUUUAUUCCUACUAACUAGCCCAGUUUUCCAAUCAUAUGAAUUUCCUGGAAUAUUUUUUGAGAGAACCAGAUUUAUUGAAGAGCUGCUGAGUCCUUUGAAAUGUCUUUACCCCAGAUAUAGACAAAGAUAAAUUUAUUCUCUGAAUAUAAAUUUAUCAGGGUAAGAAGGUAAAAUUUAGUCAAUAAGGUACAUUUGUCUGAUUAUGGGUUUGGCUGUGUGCAGCAGAGACUUAAAGCAUCAGUGGCGUAAUAUCGAGGAUUAUUUCUCCUACGUAACUGGUGGCUCCAUGGUGUCAAGGACCCAGACUUUUCCUGUCUUACUGCUUCAUCGUCAUUAGGGUAUGGCCCUCAUCUGCACAGUCCACAUGGCUCGCAGCAGCCACAUCCUCAGCCCAGGCAGGAAAGAGGAGGAAGGGGACAUCCCCUUCUCAGAGGCUGCGCCCAGUGCUUCCCCGCACACGCACACGCACACACAUGUGCCCACACGCACAAACACCCCAGCUGCUGGGAAAUUAUUUUGGGCAACCAGUAAAAACAGAUCCUAUUAAGAGGGAGGAAGAGGACAGACAUUGGGAACAACGAGUAGUCUUUCCAGCAUAUUCCUGGAAAAUAUAAAACGUCAGAAGCGGCAGUAGGUGAGCCAGGGAGGGAAGAAUCAUUACCUCAUCCAAGAAUGACGUCAGGCUGAUGAUUCAGCAGCAAUCCUGCCAGGGUUCCCAGAGAAACCCCUAUCUGGAUGACGUGAUGUCUCCCCACCUCUGCUGCUGCCUCCCUCCACGCCCACUGCCCCGUCACCAUCUCCUCUCGAGAGCCGCAAUUCCAUCUGUGGACCUCCGGUUGCCAUCUGCACUGAGACAAGUGGACCUGCCCAUCUGCCCACGCCACUUCUAAACCCUUUGGGCACACUCUGAAAGGACAGCCCCCAGCUCGUGCAGUCACAGUGUUUGGAGUCAAGGGGACACCAAAGCGGCAAUAUUUUGCUUGGGGAGCUAGAACAUCUCUAGACAAGCUGAUCGCGACAAAGGAGUCCAGGACUAUGACUUAAAAUCACAUGGAAUGAGAUCAAGCUGCCCUUUGGGCUUGGGUUUCUACACUUCUGGCCCCAAUAAAAGGAUCCAGUUGAAUCAUGAGUGCCUGUAAAAUUUUGUGGAUUUGUAGAAGCUCAUAGAUUCCAGUCUUCCUAAAGAGAGUAGUAAAUCAU